GAUGAACGCUGGCGGCGUGCCUAAUACAUGCAAGUCGAGCGAACAGAUAAGGAGCUUGCUCCUUUGACGUUAGCGGCGGACGGGUGAGUAACACGUGGGUAACCUACCUAUAAGACUGGGAUAACUUCGGGAAACCGGAGCUAAUACCGGAUAACAUUUGGAACCGCAUGGUUCUAAAGUGAAAGAUGGUUUUGCUAUCACUUAUAGAUGGACCCGCGCCGUAUUAGCUAGUUGGUAAGGUAACGGCUUACCAAGGCAACGAUACGUAGCCGACCUGAGAGGGUGACCGGCCACACUGGAACUGAGACACGGCCCAGACUCCUACGGGAGGCAGCAGUAGGGAAUCUUCCGCAAUGGGCGAAAGCCUGACGGAGCAACGCCGCGUGAGUGAUGAAGGGUUUCGGCUCGUAAAACUCUGUUAUUAGGGAAGAACAAACGUGUAAGUAACUGUGCACGUCUUGACGGUACCUAAUCAGAAAGCCACGGCUAACUACGUG
rnacentral:rRNA from 1 species